CCCGCUGAACUUAAGCAUAUCAAUAAGCGGAGGAGAAGAAACUAACAAGGAUUCCCCUAGUAACUGCGAGUGAAGCGGGAAAAGCUCAAAUUUAAAAUCUGGCAGCCAUUUGACGGUUGUCCGAGUUGUAAUCUAGAGAAGUGCUUUCCGCGCUGGACCGUGUACCAGUCUCUUGUGAUAGAGCAUCAUAGAGGGUGAGAAUCGCGUCUGUGACACGUACUACCAGUGCUUUAUGUGAUGCGCUCUCGAAGAGUCGAGUUGAUUGUGAAUGCAGCUCAUAAUGCGUCGUACAUUACAUCUAACGCUCAAUACUGGCGAGAGAUCGAUAGCGAAUCAGUACCGUCAGGAAAGAUGAAAAAGACUUUGGUACGAGAAUUAAACAGUACGUGAAAUUGUGAAAGGGAAACCGCUGAAAGUCAGUCACGUUGGCCAGAAAUCACGUGUCAACAGGGCGUAAUCUCUGGUCUAUCGGGUCAACAUCAAUUUUGAUUGUUGGAUAAAAGUCAAUAUUUAUGCGUUCUCGGACGUGUAGCCUUUGAUUGCAUACAAUGGUUGGGAUUGAGGAACUCAGCACGCCGCAAGGCCGGGUAACUUGUUACCACGUAACGUGCUUAGGAUGCUGGCAUAAUGGCUUUAAUCGACCCGUCGUGAAACACGG
rnacentral:rRNA from 1 species